rnacentral:tRNA from 1 species
GCCUGGGUGGCUCAGUCAGUUGAGUGUCUGACUUCGGCUCAGGUCAUGAGCUCACAGUUCGUGGGUUUGAGCCCCGCAUCGGGCU